UUCCUACGGGGGGCAGCAGUGGGGAAUUUUCCACAAUGGGCGAAAGCCUGAUGGAGCAACGCCGCGUGUGUGAUGAAGGUUUUCGGAUCGUAAAGCACUUUCGACCGGGACGAAAAACCUCUGGCUAACAUCCAGGGGCCUGACGGUACCGGGAGAAGAAGCACCGGCUAACUCUGUGCCAGCAGCCGCGGUAAUACAGAGGGUGCAAGCGUUGUUCGGAAUUAUUGGGCGUAAAGCGCGUGUAGGCGGCUUUGCAAGUCAGGUGUGAAAGCCCUCGGCUUAACCGAGGAAGUGCGUCUGAAACUGCAGAGCUUGAGUGUCGGAGAGGAUGGCGGAAUUCCGCAAGUAGAGGUGAAAUUCGUAGAUAUGCGGAGGAACACCGGUGGCGAAGGCGGCCAUCUGGACGACUACUGACGCUGAGACGCGAAAGCGUGGGGAGCAAACAGGAUUAGAUACCCCAGUAGUC
rnacentral:rRNA from 1 species